AUCGCUUCUCGGCCUUUUGGCUAAGAUCAAGUGUAAGAUAUUUUUUGCCCCUGUCAUUUUUUAUUUUUUAAACAUUGUUUUAGUGUAACACUCUCU
rnacentral:snRNA from 1 species